AGGGCUUUAUCUUAAUCAAAAGAAUCUGGGUUGCAUCCAGGUGAUGUGGGUUAGUUCCCCAUAGGUCCUA
rnacentral:tRNA from 1 species